UACGAAGGGGGCUAGCGUUGUUCGGAUUUACUGGGCGUAAAGCGCACGUAGGCGGAUCGUUAAGUCGAGGGUGAAAUCCUGGAGCUCAACUCCAGAACUGCCUUCGAUACUGGCGAUCUCGAGUCCGGAAGAGGUGAGUGGAACUCCGAGUGUAGAGGUGAAAUUCGUAGAUAUUCGGAAGAACACCAGUGGCGAAGGCGGCUCACUGGCCCGGUACUGACGCUGAGGUGCGAAAGCGUGGGGAGCAAACAGG
rnacentral:rRNA from 1 species